UUCCAGCUGACGAGUCCCAUGUAGGACGAAACGCGUGUCCUGCAU
rnacentral:hammerhead_ribozyme from 1 species